rnacentral:rRNA from 1 species
AGCGAACGCUGGCGGCAGGCUUAACACACGCAAGUCGAGCGGGCAUCUUCGGAUGUCAGCGGCAGACGGGUGAGUAACACGUGGGAACGUACCCUUCGGUUCGGAACAACUCUGGGAAACUGGAGCUAAUACCGGAUACGCCCUUAUGGGGAAAGGUUUACUGCCGAAGGAUCGGCCCGCGUCUGAUUAGCUAGUUGGUGGGGUAACGGCCUACCAAGGCGACGAUCAGUAGCUGGUCUGAGAGGAUGAUCAGCCACACUGGGACUGAGACACGGCCCAGACUCCUACGGGAGGCAGCAGUGGGGAAUAUUGGACAAUGGGCGCAAGCCUGAUCCAGCCAUGCCGCGUGAGUGGUGAAGGCCUUAGGGUUGUAAAGCUCUUUUGUCCGGGACGAUAAUGACGGUACCGGAAGAAUAAGCCCCGGCUAACUUCGUG